CCUACGGGUGGCUGCAGUGGGGAAUAUUGGACAAUGGGCGAAAGCCUGAUCCAGCCAUGCCGCGUGUGUGAAGAAGGCCUUCGGGUUGUAAAGCACUUUCAGUGGGGAAGAAAGCCUUGGGGCUAAUACCCUCGAGGAAGGACAUCACCCACAGAAGAAGCACCGGCUAACUCCGUGCCAGCAGCCGCGGUAAUACGGAGGGUGCGAGCGUUAAUCGGAAUUACUGGGCGUAAAGCGCGCGUAGGCGGUCUGAUAAGCCGGUUGUGAAAGCCCCGGGCUCAACCUGGGAACGGCAUCCGGAACUGUCAGGCUAGAGUGCAGGAGAGGAAGGUAGAAUUCCCUGUGUAGCGGUGAAAUGCGUAGAGAUCGGGAGGAAUACCAGUGGCGAAGGCGGCCUUCUGGACUGACACUGACGCUGAGGUGCGAAAGCGUGGGUAGCAAACAGGAUUAGAUACCCCAGUAGUC
rnacentral:rRNA from 1 species